rnacentral:rRNA from 1 species
UGGGGAAUAUUGGACAAUGGGCGGAAGCCUGAUCCAGCCCUGCCGCGUGUGUGAAGAAGGCCUUUUGGUUGUAAAACACUUUUAGGGAGGAAGAGGAUACCGGUAGUAAUACUUCUGGAUAUUGGACGUUACCCGCAGAAUAAGCACCGGCUAACUUUGUGCCCGCCGCCGCGGUAAUACAGAGGGUGCCAGCGUUUAUUGGAAUUUCUGGGCGUAAAGCGUGCGUCGGCGGUUUAUUAAGUCCGAUGUGAAAUCCCCGAGCUUAACCUUGGAAUUGCAUUCGAUACUGGUAAGCUAGAGUAUGGGAGAGGAUGGUAGAAUUUCAGGUGUAGCGGUGAAAUGCGUAGAAAUUGGGAGGAAUCCCGGUGGCGAAGGCCACCAUCUGGCGUAAUCCUGACGGUGAGGUCCGAAAGCAUGGGGAGCAAACCGGAUUAGAUACCCUGGUUGUCCCCGCCGUAAACGAUGUUUACUAGCCGUUGGGGCCUUUGAGGCUUCAGUGGCGCAGCUAACGCGAUAAGUAGACCGCCUUGG